rnacentral:rRNA from 1 species
ACCGGGUGAGUAACACGUGGAUAAUCUUCCCUUUAGUCUGGGAUACCCCUCCGAAAGGAGGCUCAAUACCGGAUGAUAUGUUCUGGCGGCAUCGCCGGAACCUCAAAGGCGGGGCAACCUGUUGCUGAAGGAUGAGUCCGCGGCCUAUUAGCUUGUUGGCGGGGUAAUGGCCCACCAAGGCGACGAUAGGUAGCCGGCCUGAGAGGGUGAUCGGCCACACUGGGACUGAGAUGCGGCCCAGACUCCUACGGGAGGCAGCAGUAGGGAAUAUUGCGCAAUGGACGCAAGUCUGACGCAGCAACGCCGCGUGGAUGAUGACGCUUUUCGGAGUGUAAAAUCCUGUCAGUGGGGAAGAAACGUCGUGGGAGUAACUGCCCAUGGCCUGACGGUACCCACAGAGGAAGUCACGGCUAACUCCGUGCCAGCAGCCGCGGUAAUACGGGGGUGACAAGCGUUGUUCGGAUUUAUUGGGCGUAAAGGGCGCGUAGGUGGGCCGGCGAGUCGGCUGUGAAAUCCCCGGGCUUAACCCGGGGCCUGCACUCGAUACUGCCAGUCUUGAGUACGGGAGAGGAGAAUGGAAUUCCAGGUGUAGCGGUGAAAUGCGUAGAUAUCUGGAAGAACACCAGUAGCGAAGGCGGUUCUCUGGCCCGAUACUGACACUGAAGCGCGAAGGCUUGGGUAGCAAACAGGAUUAGAUACCCUGGUAGUCCAAGCGGUAAACGAUGGGUACUAGAUGUCGGGGGUAUCGACCCCCCCGGUGUCGCAGCUAACGCAGUAAGUACCCCGCCUGGGGAGUACGAUCGCAAGAUUGAAACUCAAGGAAUUGACGGGGGCCCGCACAGCGGUG